GGCAGAGUGGACUAAUGCGCCGGCCUUGAGAGCCGGUGAGCUUUAUAGCUCGCGAGGGUUCGAAUCCCUCUCCCGGCG
rnacentral:tRNA from 1 species